AUUGGUGGAGCCAACAUGGGUGUAGUUCUCCAAAUUUACAAAAGUUGGCCAUUUGGAUCUUAAACCUUACCACUUCUUCAUCCGGUUGUGAGCGCAAUUGGAGUACUUUUGAAGGGAAAAAGAACAGGUUUGAAUCAAAGAGGCUCAAUGACUUAGUAGGUCAAGUACAAUCAAUUCUUGAAGGACAGGUGUGCUAAGAGAGAUAAGAGAGACCCCAUCAGAU